UCCAAGAUACAUAGUUUGCCGAACCACGU
rnacentral:sRNA from 1 species